AAUAAGUGCAGUUUUGUACUAUUCGCGUUCAACGUUUGACCGUUCGUCUUAUUUGAAAAAUUUUUAUGAUUAGUAUUUUUAUUGCUAUUAUAUGAUAAAACGUGAAUAGUAUUUUAUGUGUGACUAAAUAUUUUUAAAAUUUUCACAAAUUUUUCAAAUAAGACGGACGAUCAAACGUUGGGCACGGAUAUCCACGGAUGCACUUAUU
rfam:Oryza sativa Japonica Group DNA, chromosome 1, cultivar: Nipponbare, complete sequence.